CUUGCCACAGAAAAGCUAAACCAAGUGUUAUUUCACUGUGAGCAACUUAAAAACGAAAACCAGCUUCUACAUCAGAAGGCUGAAGCUAUGACAGCUAUCCAGGAGAAACACAAAAUGCUUGAAGACAGACGGGAGAUGCUCAACCAGGAAUUCUUAUCCAUUGAAACUCACAUGCAAAAGAAUAUGAUAGAGCGCAGAGAGGCAGAAACGUUAAAGCAAGAGAUUGAAGAACAAUCCAGGCUGCAACUAAUGGAAGUUUUGGACGGAAUUUCUAGGUUUUCAAAGACCCAAUCUCAAGCUCAUGAAAAAGCAGAGCAGGAGAAAGAAAAUUCUUUUGCUUUGAAAUUAUCAGACAUGGAAUGCAGAGUCAAAGACCUGGAAUCCAAACUCUGUAGAGCCCAAGUUCAGGAAGAUUCUGUCAGAUUCAAGCUAGAGGUAUACCAGCAAUGCUAUCUUGACCAGCUAAAGGUUACAACAGCACUGACUAAACAAAUCAAUGCUUCCAAGAAUCAAGAGCAGGUGGAGGAAGAUAGUACUAGUACAAGGCUCACUUCAGAGGAAGAACUUAUUACACAUCCAUAUACCAGGGGAGUGUACAUUCCAGAGAAAACUGGUGUUUCACAUCAUCGUCACUCCGUUGAAUUCAAUGGAACGUUUACUCCUAGUUUGGGGACAUCAAGUCACCAGCAGAGAGUGAAAGCUCGUCAGCCUAAGUUGCCAAGGUUGGUCCCA
rnacentral:lncRNA from 1 species